rnacentral:rRNA from 1 species
CAGGCCUAACACAUGCAAGUCGAGCGGAUGACGGGAGCUUGCUCCUUGAUUCAGCGGCGGACGGGUGAGUAAUGCCUAGGAAUCUGCCUGGUAGUGGGGGACAACGUUUCGAAAGGAACGCUAAUACCGCAUACGUCCUACGGGAGAAAGCAGGGGACCUUCGGGCCUUGCGCUAUUAGAUGAGCCUAGGUCGGAUUAGCUAGUUGGUGGGGUAAUGGCUCACCAAGGCGACGAUCCGUAACUGGUCUGAGAGGAUGAUCAGUCACACUGGAACUGAGACACGGUCCAGACUCCUACGGAAGGCAGCAGUGGGGAAUAUUGGACAAUGGGCGAAAGCCUGAUCCAGCCAUGCCGCGUGUGUGAAGAAGGUCUUCGGAUUGUAAAGCACUUUAAGUUGGGAGGAAGGGCAGUAAGCUAAUACCUUGCUGUUUUGACGUUACCGACAGAAUAAGCACCGGCUAACUCUGUGCCAGCAGCCGCGGUAAU